AAACUUAGGAUAAUAUCUAAACCAAA
rnacentral:tRNA from 2 species